AGAUACCCUGGUAGUCACCGCCGUAAACGAUGAGUGCUAAGUGUAGAGGGUUUCCGCCCUUUAGUGCUGAAGUUAACGCAUCAAGCACUCCGCCUGGGGAGUACGGCCGCAAGGCUGAAACUCAAAGGAAUUGACGGGGGCCCGCACAAGCGGUGGAGCAUGUGGUUUAAUUCGAAGCAACGCGAAGAACCUUACCAGGUCUUGACAUCCUCUGACAACCCUAGAGAUAGGGCUUCUCCUUCGGGAGCAGAGUGACAGGUGGUGCAUGGUUGUCGUCAGCUCGUGUCGUGAGAUGUUGGGUUAAGUCCCGCAACGAGCGCAACCCUUGAUCUUAGUUGCCAUCAUUUAGUUGGGCACUCUAAGGUGACUGCCGGUGACAAACCGGAGGAAGGUGGGGAUGACGUCAAAUCAUCAUGCCCCUUAUGACCUGGGCUACACACGUGCUACACUGGACGGUACAAAGAGCUGCAAGACCGCGAGGUGGAGCUAAUCUCAUAAAACCGUUCUCAGUUCGGAUUGUAGGCUGCAACUCGCCUACAUGAAGCUGGAAUCGCUAGUAAUCGCGGAUCAGCAUGCCGCGG
rnacentral:rRNA from 1 species